rnacentral:rRNA from 1 species
UAUGGUGGAGGAUGACGGGCACACCCGUUCCCAUACCGAACACGGAAGUUAAGCUCUCUAGCGCCGAUGGUAGUUGGGACCUUGUCCCUGUGAGAGUAGGACGUCGCCAAGCA